rnacentral:rRNA from 1 species
GAAGAGUUUGAUCAUGGCUCAGAUUGAACGCUGGCGGCAGGCCUAACACAUGCAAGUCGAACGGUAACAGGAAGCAGCUUGCUGCUUUGCUGACGAGUGGCGGACGGGUGAGUAAUGUCUGGGAAACUGCCUGAUGGAGGGGGAUAACUACUGGAAACGGUGGCUAAUACCGCAUAACGUCGCAAGACCAAAGAGGGGGACCUUCGGGCCUCUUGCCAUCAGAUGUGCCCAGAUGGGAUUAGCUUGUUGGUGAGGUAACGGCUCACCAAGGCGACGAUCCCUAGCUGGUCUGAGAGGAUGACCAGCCACACUGGAACUGAGACACGGUCCAGACUCCUACGGGAGGCAGCAGUGGGGAAUAUUGCACAAUGGGCGCAAGCCUGAUGCAGCCAUGCCGCGUGUAUGAAGAAGGCCUUCGGGUUGUAAAGUACUUUCAGCGGGGAGGAAGGUGUUGUGGUUAAUAACCGCAGCAAUUGACGUUACCCGCAGAAGAAGCACCGGCUAACUCCGUGCCAGCAGCCGCGGUAAUACGGAGGGUGCAAGCGUUAAUCGGAAUUACUGGGCGUAAAGCGCACGCAGGCGGUCUGUCAAGUCGGAUGUGAAAUCCCCGGGCUCAACCUGGGAACUGCAUUCGAAACUGGCAG